rnacentral:rRNA from 1 species
UACGUAGGUGGCAAGCGUUGUCCGGAUUUACUGGGCGUAAAGGGCGUGCAGGCGGUCUGUUAAGUGCAGGGUGAAAGCUCCCGGCUCAACUGGGAGAGGUCCUUGCAUACUGGCGGACUUGAGGGGGGUAGAGGAAAGUGGAAUUCCCGGUGUAGUGGUGAUAUGCGUAGAUAUCGGGAGGAACACCUGUGGCGAAGGCGCUUUCUGGGCCCUACCUGACGCUGAGGAGCGAAAAGCGUGGGGAGCGAACGAGGA